rnacentral:rRNA from 5 species
CAAACGACUCUCGGCAACGGAUAUCUCGGCUCUCGCAUCGAUGAAGAACGUAGCGAAAUGCGAUACUUGGUGUGAAUUGCAGAAUCCCGUGAACCAUCGAGUCUUUGAACGCAAGUUGCGCCCGAAGCCAUCAGGCCUAGGGCACGUCUGCCUGGGCGUCACG